rnacentral:rRNA from 1 species
CAGUAGCCGCGGUAAUACGAAGGGUGCAAGCGUUACUCGGAAUUACUGGGCGUAAAGCGUGCGUAGGUGGUGGUUUAAGUCCGUUGUGAAAGCCCUGGGCUCAACCUGGGAAUUGCAGUGGAUACUGGGUCACUAGAGUGUGGUAGAGGAUAGUGGAAUUUCCGGUGUAGCAGUGAAAUGCGUAGAGAUCGGAAGGAACAUCUGUGGCGAAGGCGACUAUCUGGGCCAACACUGACACUGAGGCACGAAAGCGUGGGAGCAAACAGGAUUAGAUACCCCCGUAGUCCCUGUCUCUUAUACA